CAAUCUCCAUUCCUUUGCAUCCAAGUUAUAAAAAAAAAAAUAAAAAGAGAGAGAGAGAAGAAGAAGAAGAAGAAGAAGGUGGUGAGUUCUCAUGGCUGCGAAAGAUGAUCAUCAAAAACCUUCUUCUGAUACUGAAGUGCAAACAACACAAUCGCUUCAGCAAAAAUCAUUUAGAGAAUAUUUAAAGAGAGAGCAAAUAGCGUUUAUGCUUGUACCGCUUUUCGUAAUAGCCCUUUCGCUAUUCAUGAUAGUGAUUUCACUACAAAAACUACGAUCUCACGGCGAUCCACCAGCUGCAGGAAACAUCCAACCACCAAAAUGGCUUGUUGAGUGGCUGAAUUCACAAGAGGUAAACAAGGAAGGAUCCCAGAAGUUGAAUCUACAGUGCAAGAAAGUGCCAGCAGGAGGAAAUGGCCAAGCAUGGAGUCUAAGGUGCGAGCACGUGCAAGAAGUGGAUCAACAAGAUACAAAAAUAACUCAAGAACCGCAAAGUUUUUACCUUCAAUUGGACAAAUCUCAAGGGGAAAGCAACCUGCAGUCACCCCAAUGGCAGAAUUCACUGUGCUGUCGUCCUUGUAGCUAUAAACCUCCACCUUCACCAGCUAUGAACAUAAUUCCAGAUUCAGAACCUCAAGUUCCAGUUCCAGUACCUUCACUUCCAGUUUUCAUUAUCACAACAAUAAUCAAAUGGGUUAAAGUGGUGACAUAUGCGGGAAUACAUAUGAUAAGAACCUUGAUUACUUGGGUGCCAACUCCAUUCAUACCUAUUAAGUGCCAAUAUCAUUCGGAAACUCUCAGUGUGGAGUUUGAGAUGGAGCUGAAAAAGAUGUUACAAGCUGAACUUCGGAGACAACUACAAGUAGAAGCAUCACAGCAACAGUUCAAACCAUGUCUAGAUAAGUUUCCAAAAGUGUUGCGUACUCGGUUUGAGACUAAGUUCAAGGACAUACUUACAGCUGCACUUGAGCAAAUAUCUCAGGAGGGGACUGCAUAUUCCCAUGCGACUACAGCAAGAUGGGUGCAAGAAUCAACAGAAGUUACUGAACAUAAGCAAAUAUCAGUGGAAGAAUCAACACGAGUUACUGAGCAAAUAUUUGUGGGAGAAUCAGUACAAGAAACUGAACAUAAACAAAUCUUGGAAAAAUCAACAGUUUCCAAAAAUCCUACACAUCCAACUUAAGGGGUUACAUCGUGGGGCUGCUGUUGGAGUUCCUUGUGAUCAUUAUAAAGGCACAUACUGAGCUUGUUGGGCAUAUGCAUCUGCUAUGUAUCUAUCCAUUUUGAUUUGGUCAUGACAUAUAUAGUUCAUUUAGAGGAUAAGAAUGAAGUUUUAGCUUCUUUGGGGCUACUGUAUUUUUUCUGGCCGCUAAGUAUUUUUAGCUAUGGAUU